AAUAGAGUGCCUGAUUAAAGGAUUAUUUUGAUAGAAUAAAUCAAGUAUGUUUUUGUACCUCUAUUA